UUGAAUUCUACAAGGAACAGGUGAAAUCUUCUUUCGAAUCUCUCACAGAAAAGAAAUCAGAGAUCCAGAAAAUUGAGCAGGAACAGAAAGAGCAUUUCUGGAGUUCAGGAAGAGUCACACAACCUUCAGUCAC